rnacentral:ncRNA from 1 species
ACCCCUAUCCAUUAAUGAAUUAAAAUUUUGGAUUUCUUAUUAAUGUGAUUCCCUAUAUCCAUGUUUUUGGCCUUAAGACAUGUUUCAGUGGGUCAAUAUGGGAGAAAGACAUUGUUAGGUGGGGGGGUUUGUAUGGGGUAGCACAUUUGUUAUAGAUAACGUAGGUGUCCUGAUAUGAGCUCAAUGAGAACAAAAAUCUCACAUGGAACAAAAUGGUAAAGGCUCAUUUGAUUUUGAUUUUCAGUAUGAAUACAAACCGUGAAAGUGUGGCCUAUUAUGAAAAUGAAGUUAUUUUGGCCUUAGA